rnacentral:rRNA from 1 species
UGGGUAAUCUUGCGCAAUGGGCGAAAGCCUGACGCAGCGACGCCGCGUGGGGGAUGAAGGCCUUUCACGUUGUAAACCCCUUUCGUCAGGCACGACGCGAUCUCGUGACGGUACCUGCAGAAGAAUCCUCGGCUAACUACGUGCCAGCAGCCGCGGUAACACGUAGGAGGCGAUCGUUGUCCGGAAUCAUUGGGCGUAAAGAGCGCGCUGGCGGCCUGGCAAUUCGGGUGUGAAAUCCCGGGGCUCAACCCCGGGACUGCAGUAGAUCCUGUAAGGCUAGAGGUCGGUCGGGAAGAUAGGAAUGCCUGGUGUAGCGGUGAAAUGCGCAGAUGUCAGGAGGAACACCGGUGGCGAAGGAGGAGCUCUGGGCCUUACCUGACGCUCAGGCGCGAAAGCUAGGGGGGCGAACAGG